GAUGAAGAACGUAGCGAAAUGCGAUAAGUAAUGUGAAUUGCAGAAUUCAGUGAAUCAUCGAAUCUUUGAACGCACAUUGCGCCCGCCAGUAUUCUGGCGGGCAUGCCUGUUCGAGCGUCAUUUCAACCAUCAAGCCCCCGGCUUGUGUUGGGGACCUGCGGCUGCCGCAGGCCCUGAAAACCAGUGGCGGGCUCGCUAGUCACUCCGAGCGUAGUAAUACAUCUCGCUCAGGGCGUGCUGCGGGUUCCGGCCGUUAAAAAAGCCUUAUUUACCCAAGGUUGACCUCGUAUCAGGUAGGAAGACCCGCUGAACUUAAGCAUAUCAAUAAGCGGAGGA
rnacentral:misc_RNA from 1 species